UACGGGGGGAGCAAGCGUUGUUCGGAUUUACUGGGCGUAAAGGGCGCGUAGGCGGUCAGCACAAGUCAGUUGUGAAAUCUCCGGGCUUAACUCGGAAAGGUCAACUGAUACUGUGCGACUAGAGUGCAGAAGGGGCAACUGGAAUUCUCGGUGUAGCGGUGAAAUGCGUAGAUAUCGAGAGGAACACCUGCGGCGAAGGCGACAUCCUGGACCGGUAUUGACGCUGAGGCGCGAAAGCCAGGGGAGCAAACGGG
rnacentral:rRNA from 1 species